rnacentral:lncRNA from 1 species
GAGUUUCCAUCUCUUCAAGUUUUGUUGGAUUUUAUCUUGAUUGAAGAGGAGGAUCCAAAGUUUUCUAUCGAAGUUUCACCCCUGAAGGCUCUAUGAAAGAAAUCUGAUACCAAAGAAGGUUUUUCGCAUACAAGAUGAAAGUGGAAGAUCUUAGGUGGAGGACUUUAUCUAUAAAAACAUUGAUUCUUGUCGAAAGAGGAUAACAAGGACUUGCCUAAUCCUAUGAGUGCAGAUUCAAAAAAACAAAAAAAAAUCCAAAAAAAAUCAAAAUCAAAGUCAAAAGAGAAAUGAAAAGAGAGAAGAA